GAAAACGGUUAAGUUAGAUAACCGUCUUUUCCCUUAAUUCAUGAAAAAAGAGAAAGUAAGUAAAAAAUUUAACAAAAUAAUAUUCCCGUAGAAAUAAAUAAAUAAUGGUUUACAAUGAAAACUGUACUAUAGAUCUCACAAAUGACAAACCUAAAUUUAGAUCUCCAGUUACCACUUUCCCUCUGCUCGCCUCCUCUAUCAUCUCCUCAAAAUCUCCUUCUCUAAUUUUUUCGGUUUGCUCCGAUUCAGAUAAUCGAGUUAUCGGUGAUGGAUCCUCCAUGCAAAACAUCAAAAUUGAAUACUUCGUAUAAAGAUUUACCGGAUGACAGCAACCUAAUUUGCGAAAUGCUAGUAUUUGUGAAUUGAGAGAAACUUCCAUUUUCCAUUAACGCCGCCAUGCUAAAGUAUUUGCCGCCGUCAGUCAUAAUAACAAAAUCCAAUUGGCGGUUGAAGUACAGGUUAUUUUGUUUUUGGCAAAGUGGAGAAUUAAAGUUUGCAGCUUGAAAUGGUGAUCAAGCGAGAAGAGAUGGUCUUUUAUGGGUUUUGUUUUAGUUUAUGUAAUCGAAUGAUAUUAUAUGUAGUUAUUACAGAGUAAUUGUAAUCGUUGUAAGAUGUUGUUUGUUUCUUUGCAAUCAAAAUUAAAGCCGCAAUUGGAAUAUAAUGAAGUACUUCGUAUUUGUUGUUAA